rnacentral:rRNA from 1 species
GAUGAACGCUGGCGGCGUGCCUAAUACAUGCAAGUCGAGCGAACGGACGAGGAGCUUGCUUCUCUGAUGUUAGCGGCGGACGGGUGAGUAACACGUGGAUAACCUACCUAUAAGACUGGGAUAACUUCGGGAAACCGGAGCUAAUACCGGAUAAUAUUUUGAACCGCAUGGUUCAAAAGUGAAAGACGGUCUUGCUGUCACUUAUAGAUGGAUCCGCGCUGCAUUAGCUAGUUGGUAAGGUAACGGCUUACCAAGGCAACGAUGCAUAGCCGACCUGAGAGGGUGAUCGGCCACACUGGAACUGAGACACGGUCCAGACUCCUACGGGAGGCAGCAGUAGGGAAUCUUCCGCAAUGGGCGAAAGCCUGACGGAGCAACGCCGCGUGAGUGAUGAAGGUCUUCGGAUCGUAAAACUCUGUUAUUAGGGAAGAACAUAUGUGUAAGUAACUGUGCACAUCUUGACGGUACCUAAUCAGAAAGCCACGGCUAACUACGUGCCAGCAGCCGCGGUAAUACGUAGGUGGCAAGCGUUAUCCGGAAUUAUUGGGCGUAAAGCGCGCGUAGGCGGUUUUUUAAGUCUGAUGUGAAAGUCCACGGCUCAACCGUGGAGGGUCAUUGGAAACUGGAAAACUUGAGUGCAGAAGAGGAAAGUGGAAUUCCAUGUGUAGCGGUGAAAUGCGCAGAGAUAUGGAGGAACACCAGUGGCGAAGGCGACUUUCUGGUCUGUAACUGACGCUGAUGUGCGAAAGCGUGGGGAUCAAACAGGAUUAGAUACCCUGGUAGUCCACGCCGUAAACGAUGAGUGCUAAGUGUUAGGGGGUUUCCGCCCCUUAGUGCUGCAGCUAACGCAUUAAGCACUCCGCCUGGGGAGUACGACCGCAAGGUUGAAACUCAAAGGAAUUGACGGGGACCCGCACAAGCGGUGGAGCAUGUGGUUUAAUUCGAAGCAACGCGAAGAACCUUACCAAAUCUUGACAUCCUUUGACAACUCUAGAGAUAGAGCCUUCCCCUUCGGGGGACAAAGUGACAGGUGGUGCAUGGUUGUCGUCAGCUCGUGUCGUGAGAUGUUGGGUUAAGUCCCGCAACGAGCGCAACCCUUAAGCUUAGUUGCCAUCAUUAAGUUGGGCACUCUAAGUUGACUGCCGGUGACAAACCGGAGGAAGGUGGGGAUGACGUCAAAUCAUCAUGCCCCUUAUGAUUUGGGCUACACACGUGCUACAAUGGACAAUACAAAGGGCAGCGAAACCGCGAGGUCAAGCAAAUCCCAUAAAGUUGUUCUCAGUUCGGAUUGUAGUCUGCAACUCGACUACAUGAAGCUGGAAUCGCUAGUAAUCGUAGAUCAGCAUGCUACGGUGAAUACGUUCCCGGGUCU